CCUAGGAAUUACAUAUGAACUGACCUCAUCAUGUAUAAGGCAAGAAUGGCCGCGCCGCCAAGCUCGGCAAGGCAGGGGACUGUUUUAUCACAAAGACCUGUAGACACAGUACCAUGCGGAAAUUUGAUUAGUAACCUUGGUAACAUGAAGAGGUCACAAUAAUCCUCAUAACUGGAUAUGAUAGGCCACAGUUAGGGUUAGAUAAGGGGUGUCACGGUCUAACAGUCAUUGUGUCGGAGAGCAACAUCCAACCAGGGCCCAAAAUAAGAGAUCCGUGCUUGAUUUGACAAUUGUUGUUUUUUAAGAUUUGUUUGAGGAUCCCUCCUCCCUGUGUUCUAUCAGUGAAAUCUGUACACAGUCACCAAUCACUUUUGUACUCUGAUUGCAAUCCUCAAAUUUAGAAUGACUCAUUAAUAGGAUUAACGGUAUGAUGGGAGUUUUCCCUAAAUCAGAUAAAGCCUUUCAAUGAGAUGAAACAGUGUUGCGCACACCAAUGUGUUGACAUCUGUGUAAAAUCUUUUGAUGUCAUAAAUGUGAUGGUGACCGUGGUUGGAAUGUGCCUUCAGAAAAAAACGAGCUGAAAAAAACAAUACAUGGAUCACUGGGUCUCUCCUGUGCUGCAGCUUGAGUCUAUUAUUGAUGUCAUCUUGAUCCAAUUUGAUGAAUCUUAGGGGUUCGCCCAAAGAGAGGGGCCAGUCAGAGCAAACGCAGUGUGACCUUGUCCCAGCUUUUCUCUCUCACUAUGAUUCGGAAUGCAUUUAGAGGUUGGGAGUUAUUUCAUUAAAGACUAAACACGAAACAGGUUGUACCAGAGCGCUCUUGUCUGAAUGGGUGCUAAAUGUUCCGAUAAACUCCGAAGCAUGCCAAAGGUGAACUGAAGAUCCUGUUGCAUAGCCCUGGUGUUCAGGGCAGGGUCACGGUCCCCUCACGGUCCUCGGCUCACGCCUUUGAUCAGUACCCUCUGUGAGGUAAUGGUGCUAUCUAUGCCACGCCGCCGCUGCCAGCGAUGACAAGGAGCAAAGGAGCGCAUGGAGGGUUACAGUCCAGCGCUCGGUGCAGUCGCCAUGGGCUACAGCAGUCUUCGCCGGACGGAGAGGCCUUAUUGGAUGUGGCAGGCUUGAACUCUGUCCCUGCUGACGCUAACUCAAUGAGGUGAAGGGGUGAGAGGCAGAGGUUGGGUUCGACUGGAGACAGUUCUACUUUACAUGUCUAAGAGAGAGCUAACAAGAACUGCCUGUGAUUUCAUUUCAGGAAAAGAUCGUUUGACCCCUGAAAUUCCUUUCUUCUUUGGGAAACGGAUUCGUUCUGCUCUGCCUCAUAUUUCGGCGGUUAGGCAGGUGUACAUUUCAGACGGCUACUAAUAACUUGCUAAUUUAACUUAAAAAGGACAUAUUUCAGGACGCGAAAGCCUCAGUAGCGCGCGAGAGUACACUUAAAAGGACAACGCAGGAUACGUGUGUUUUUACAAUGGCUUCCACGCUGAGAGCACAAUGGCUGUCAUCAGGCCCAGCUCCACGGCCAUAGGGAUUCUCAUUUGGCAGCCGGCCUGGCCAAACAAAGGAAGUCUAAAAGCUUAAAUGGUUUUGCUCCCUUCAUAUUUAUGUAGUGCACAAUGCAUGAGCUGCAUGUUACUGUCAGUCUCUCAUAGUUGUGUUUUUAUGAGGUGUAAUAAUUGACAGGGCAUAUUUCAUUGGGAGUUAUGAUCAUUGAGGGUUAUAUUAAUUUGACCCAUUAAGUAAUUAUUGAAUAAGAAACAUUUCUCUCAUG